GUCCCUAUCGUCUAGAGGCCUAGGACAUCGCCCUUUCACGGCGGUAACCGGGGGUUCGAAUCCCCGUAGGGACGCCA
rnacentral:tRNA from 1 species